CCUACGGGCGGCAGCAGUGAGGAAUAUUGGUCAAUGGGCGCAAGCCUGAACCAGCCAAGUCGUGUGAGGGAUGACGGUCCUAUGGAUUGUAAACCUCUUUUUUCGGGGAGCAAGGCCCGCCACGUGUGGCGUGAAGGAGAGUACCCGAAGAAAAAGCAUCGGCUAACUCCGUGCCAGCAGCCGCGGUAAUACGGAGGAUGCGAGCUUUAGCCGGAUUUAUGGGGUUUAAAGGGUGCGUCGGCGGCCUGUUGUGUCAGCGGUAAAAGCCCGGGGCUCAACCCCGGCGAGCCGUUGAAACUGGCUGGCUGGAGUUGGAGAGAAGUACGCGGAAUGCGCGGUGUAGCGGUGAAAUGCUUAGAUAUCGCGCAGAACCCCGAUUGCGAAGGCAGCGUACCGGCUCCACACUGACGCUGAGGCACGAAAGCGUGGGUAUCGAACAGGAUUAGAUACCCCAGUAGUC
rnacentral:rRNA from 1 species